rnacentral:lncRNA from 1 species
AUGGUGGGUUGGGAUAUGACCCCUGUGGGCCUCAAGGCAGUCCACAGCCACAUGCAGUUCUGCUCCCUUUGCAGGGUGAAGAACAGUUCUCGUGGUUAUUCAGGAUGCUGGAUACGUGGUCCGGGCUGUGGCCAGGGCAGAGGGCAUUACCACCGGCAGAGCCUAGGGCAGAUCAGCAGGCAAAACCUCCAGCAGAUCAGCAGGCAGAGCCUCAGGCAGAUCAGCAGGCAGAGCCCCAGGCAGAUGAGCAGGCAGAGCCUCCAGCAGAUCAGCAGGCAGAGCCUCCAGCAGAUCAGCAAGCAGAGCCUGGGGCAGAUGAGCAGGCAGAGCCUCCAGCAGAUCAGCAGGCAGAGCCUCCAGCAGAAGAGCCUCCAGCAGAUGAGCAGGCAGAGCCUGGGGCAGAUGAGCAGGCAGAGCCUCCAGCAGAUCAGGCAGAGCCCCAGGCAGAUCAGCAGGCAGAGCCCCAGGCAGAUCAGCAGGCAGAGCCUCCAGCAGAUGAGCAGGCAGAGCCUCCAGCAGAUGAGCAGGCAGAACCUCCAGCAGAUCAGCAAGCAGAGCCUCCAGCAGAUCAGCAAGCAGAGCCUCCAGCAGAUCAGCAAGCAGAGCCUCCAGCAGAUCAGCAGGCAAUGCCAAAAGCAGAGAGUACACCAGCUCCUCCAGACCUCCCACGUCCCAUCAGUCCAAGCCCACAGGAUGCGCUGGAUGGUGCUCCAGGACAUGCCUGACCUCAAAAUUGAUACCACGGUGGAUGCUGCAACAAGAAACAUGAUGAUCACCACGACAGACACCGACAACUUAUCUGAAUGCCCUACCAACAACUAGGAGGUAGAAGAGAGCCCCUGCUCCAUCACUCACAUCUCCCUGCACACCCCAGGCAGCCCCCAGGACCACCCAGCUCUAUCUGCCUCUGCUCCACUGGUCUCUAUUCUCCUCCCCUUUCCCAGCUGUGUCUGAAGCUGUUUCCACCUCUCCAGAACUGAUCUGCCCCAGGAAAUAAAAGGUUUCACGCACCAGCGUGGUUGUGUGUG